rnacentral:rRNA from 1 species
GAUAAACGCUAGCGGCGCACAUAAGACAUGCAAGUCGAACGGACUUAACCGUUAGUUUACUAAUGGAGCGGUUAGUGGCGGACUGGUGAGUAACACGUAAGCAACCUGCCUAUCAGAGGGGAACAACAGUUAGAAAUGACUGCUAAUACCGCAUAUGCCUUAGCAACACAUGUUGCAAAAGGGAAAGGAGCAAUCCACUGAUAGAUGGGCUUGCGUCUGAUUAGAUAGUUGGUGGGGUAACGGCCUACCAAGUCGACGAUCAGUAGCCGGACUGAGAGGUUGAACGGCCACAUUGGGACUGAGAUACGGCCCAGACUCCUACGGGAGGCAGCAGUCGGGAAUAUUGCGCAAUGGAGGAAACUCUGACGCAGUGACGCCGCGUGCAGGAAGAAGGUUUUCGGAUUGUAAACUGCUUUAGACAGGGAAGUAUAAAGACAGUACCUGUAGAAUAAGCUCCGGCUAACUACGUGCCAGCAGCCGCGGUAA